AAAUCCACGAGCUCUCUUUAAAAAGAGCCCAAAGGGGCAAAAUAAACCAGGGGUUCAUAUGAAUGAGGCAGGGAGAGGCUUUGGGAGUUUCCCGAGGACCGUUUUGCCACUCUCCCUUGAAGACCACCUUCUACGGUGGUCUUCUUCAGCCGAUGAGUUCUCCGACCACCGUCAAAACGGUCCUCAUCCCGCGGGAAAGAUUAACGGCUUCUCUUUCUUACUACUACUACGUACUGUACUCCGUAUUAAUUUCUAUUCUACUACUACAACUACUACCGUUUCAUCAUGAUCUUUAUUUUCACCCUUCAAAAUAAAUAAUAAAAAAAAUAUUGGGACCCUUUGAGGCAGUGAUGAAUGCGAACCGUUCAAAGAAAUCAAAUUCAAUUUGGAUUUGUGGGGAUUUUUAAGAAGUGGGGUAAUUUUCCAUUUGGCCUGGCAGCAACCUUAGUGUUCAGUUUGCCGCUAAAUGGGUAGAUUUUGCUCCCCUUGAAAUUCUCCCCCGAAUUGUUUUGAUUAAAUGCAGAUCUGAGCCUCCUUUCCUUCCACCCUUUCUGGGGAAUUUUAGUUGCGAAGCUUGAAAUGCUGUUAUGGUAACGUUAGCUCUCGUGAUUUUUUUCUCUGGAUGUUAGGUAUAUAUCAACUAAAGAGGGGGCUUCACAUCGAUUAUCUGAUGAUAAGUAUGUUCCCUGCCAUGUAAAUUUUCAUGGUGAGGGUCUUUGUUCGGCAACACAGAAGGGGUUUAUGAUUUAUCAAAAACAUGAUGAGUUUAAGAAUGAGGCUGGGAGAGGCUAUGGGAGUUUCCUAAGACCAUUUUGUUCCUCUCUUCUGAUGACCAACUCUACUGGCAGUCAUCAAUAGCCCAUGAUUUCUCCAAACACUCAGAAAAUGGUCAUCAGAGAAAAGGCUGCUGAGCCAGUUUCUUUUAUUUGAGCAUUCUUCUUCUCUUAUGCAACUUCUCCGGAAUCUUAUAUUGCUCUGUCUUUUCCAGUUCCAUCUAAAGAGGUUGUCCUUCCUCCAUCCAAAUUGAGGAUUGAGGAUCAAAGUUUUCCAGAAAUCCAAUUUCGUAGUUACUCGCUCUGUCUUUGGUGAAUCUUGUCUCAAUUUCUUUCAUUGCUAACUCUUUCAAUUUGGAUUGAUUAUUAGAAAAAAAAAAAAUCAGACCCCCCUUGGUUAGGAACUUAUGACAGAGGCUGGAGAGGCUAUGGGAGUUUCUGUGGACCGUUUUGCCCCUCUCCUUUGAUGACCACUUUUACCAGCGGUCAUCUAUAUUGCAAAUGAUUUCUCCAGAACCAGAAAAUGGUCCUUCAACUUGAAUAGGGAGUUCCCAGUUGAGAAAGAUGAAUACGAAGCAUGUGGAGUCUAGUGUCGUUUUUAAACUAAUUGGAGGCAGUGAUGAUCAUAGACCAAGGGCCUGUUCUUUUCACCUGUGAAACUUUUACUUAUCUGAGCUUUCUGAACUGAACUUAUGUAUCUGAAGUUUCUGAACUGAACUUAUAUAUCUGAAGUUUCUGAACUGAACUUAUAUAUCUGAACUUUUUGAACUGAACUUAUAUAUCUGAACUUUCUGAACUGAACUGUAUGAACCUAUUGAACAUGGAACUUUUUAAGGUGAAAAGAACAGGGCUGCAGUAAUCAGGCUCUUGAGAAACGGCCUAGAGGGUCUUGCAUGUGCUUGGCAGGGCAGCAAAUGGAACUCUUAGUUUAUGAGUUUUGCCUGCUUUGCCGCCAUUGCUUAACCUUAAGGCCCCUUUCUAUGCCUGAUGAAAGCGAAUCUGAGCCUUGUUUUUCUCACAAAAAAAUUUGUGGGGGAUGGUUUCAUUGGUUUAGUGGGGGCAUAGAGGUAGAGGUUGUUUUUUCUCUUUUCACAAGUUUUGUGUCUUCAUGAAAUUUUCAUGAAAUGUUCCAACUGUCAGCCAAAGUGCUAACCACGGAACUAACCAGUGUCUAAUUCUGAUAAGGGGAAUUCAGGUGAAAAUAAGGAAGCCUCUCUUUGUGCAUGUUUGUAUUGGUUCUAAUUAUUUCCUGCCCUUGUUAUGAUUUCAUCAUGUAUGAAAAGCUUAUCUGAAAAUCUUCCCUUCUCAUCUCUCUUCCCUUACACUCAUGUCUCACCCUUUCAUUGCGCUGAUUUCUGAGUUUUUGAAGGCGAACUGCAAACCACAUCAAGGAUUGUGAGUUUUAUAGUCGGGACAUCUGAAUGUAGAGGGGAAAGAUGACACUAGACACAAAAGAACAGGUGGAUAAUUAUUGGAUACAUAUUUGGUUGUAGCUCACUCAAAAAUCGUACAAAAGGGAGUUUCUGUUAGAGCUCUUAACCCUAAUUCUGGAAUGCUUGGCUCCAGUGGUUGAAAAAGGGCUUCCACCUCCUGCAAGUCUACUUCCUCCUUAGCCCAUGCAUAUACUCCGUAGAAAGAAUGAUGAUGAUUAGCAAGAGAGAUAGGGAGCUUACAGAAGGCGGCGUGUGUGCUGUUUUGGUUGAAACCGUGUCCGUGAUGUAUAAUGAAGAUUGACAUCUUAGCAGCACUUACCAGCACAGAAUGAACGAGGUAUAAUACUGUGGAUUAAAACAUAUUUCACUCUUGGAUCAUUUUCCCAUUGAUCAAGAAAGCUUUUGUACUUAACCUGCAUUUCUGCAACAAAUUAAAUACACACGAAGGUGGUAAAUCAAGUGGCAUAAGUCGCGGUUAGCGUUUUUACUUGUAACUGUCCAAGUCCAUAUAAUUCAACUGCAAACGUUGAAUCCAUGGCAUUGAGACCUUUGGGACGAUGAAGAUUCAAGAGUAACGCCAUUUGGGUAAAUGGUUGUCCUUGAUGAAUUCUUCCGCAGCAGAAGCGGAAGCCAUGUGCAAAAAUGAGCUAAAUAAAGAUGAUUUUUAGAGACAAAUUAUAAUAACUGCUAAAUUUCCACUUUUUUACCAUCUUUAACAUAAUCACAAAUUUAACAAAAUCUUAUUUCAUACAUCUUAAUAACUCUUUUUAUAUAUGUAUUAAUUAUAAUAAGUUACAUGCUUACAUUGAAAGUUUAUAAAUUUUGUUCUUUGAAA